GUUGAACGCUGGCGGCAGGCUUAACACAUGCAAGUCGAGCGGGGUGAUGGUGCUUGCACUAUCACUUAGCGGCGGACGGGUGAGUAAUGCUUAGGAAUCUGCCUAUUAGUGGGGGGCAACAUCUCGAAAGGGAUGCUAAUACCGCAUACGUCCUACGGGAGAAAGCAGGGGAUCACUUGUGACCUUGCGCUAAUAGAUGAGCCUAAGUCGGAUUAGCUAGUUGGUGGGGUAAAGGCCUACCAAGGCGACGAUCUGUAGCGGGUCUGAGAGGAUGAUCCGCCACACUGGGACUGAGACACGGCCCAGACUCCUACGGGAGGCAGCAGUGGGGAAUAUUGGACAAUGGGGGGAACCCUGAUCCAGCCAUGCCGCGUGUGUGAAGAAGGCCUUAUGGUUGUAAAGCACUUUAAGCGAGGAGGAGGCUCUUUUGGUUAAUACCCAAGAUGAGUGGACGUUACUCGCAGAAUAAGCACCGGCUAACUCUGUGCCAGCCGCCGCGGUAA
rnacentral:rRNA from 1 species